ensembl:lncRNA
GGUACCAGUCCAUAGAACCACAGACACACUGUGGUACCAGUCCUUAGAACCACAGACACACCGAGGUACCAGUCCUUAGAACCACAGACACACCGAGGUACCAGUCCAUAGAACCACAGACACACUGUGGUACCAGUCCUUAGAACCACAGACACACCGAGGUACCAGUCCUUAGAACCACAGACACAGACACCGAGGUACCAGUCCAUAGACCCACAGACACACCGAGGUACCAGUCCUUAGAACCCACAGACACACUGUGGUACCAGUCGUUAGAACCACAGACACACCGAGGUACCAGUCGUUAGAACCACAGACACAGGCACCUAGGUUUGACUCCUUUAGAACCUCGCUGACCUCCUCUGGUUCCCGGUUCUCUCAG